UGGGGUGUGGCUCAGUGGUAGAACGCUUGCCUAGCAUGUAUGGGCACUGGGUUCAAUUCUCAGCACCCCAU
rnacentral:tRNA from 2 species